rnacentral:tRNA from 1 species
AUAAAUAUCAAUGUGUAAUAUCGGAUUGAAAAUCCGCGUGUCGCUGGUUCGAUUCCGGCUCUGGGCACCA